rnacentral:misc_RNA from 1 species
GCCGUCAAUUCCUUUGAGUUUUAACCUUGCGGCCGUACUCCCCAGGCGGUCGACUUAACGCGUUAGCUCCGGAAGCCACUCCUCAAGGGAACAACCUCCAAGUCGACAUCGUUUACGGCGUGGACUACCAGGGUAUCUAAUCCUGUUUGCUCCCCACGCUUUCGCACCUGAGCGUCAGUCUUCGUCCAGGGGGCCGCCUUCGCCACCGGUAUUCCUCCAGAUCUCUACGCAUUUCACCGCUACACCUGGAAUUCUACCCCCCUCUACGAGACUCAAGCCUGCCAGUUUCAAAUGCAGUUCCCAGGUUAAGCCCGGGGAUUUCACAUCUGACUUAACAGACCGCCUGCGUGCGCUUUACGCCCAGUAAUUCCGAUUAACGCUUGCACCCUCCGUAUUACCG